CUCAGGUUGAAACUUAUGAUGGUAAUUCAUGAUUUUGUGCACUUUAACAAUGCAUGCAUUUUUAUUUGAAUUUACUUCAAGCAUGCGUUGAUAUGAUUUUUCAUGAGCUCAAAAGAUUUGCUUUGCAAAAGUGCAUCUUGUGUCUGAACUUCUGUUUACGGGAAGAACCAUGAAAUCUUAUGUGAUUUAUGGAAGGAAAUGCAUGCUUAAUCGCAUGUUUGUUAUAUGAGCAAAUCUUUGUCUGUGUGCGCUAUUUGAGAGGUAUAGGCAAAAGAGACACUUAGUGAAUUAGUUUCCAAAAUUGUUUUAACACUAUGGAUGGAAGCAGGUUAGAAGGGAUUAAAGGAUGAAAUGAAAUGGAAGUAUAUGAAGAUUUGAUUCCAAACAGGGGUUUAUUUUAUGGUGUAAUGGAAAAUUAAUGGAGGCUAAAUAUUGCAUUUACCUCCAAAUACAUAUUUUUCUUAACCCCCAAAUUGAGGGUUAAAAAGAUGCAAUGUAAAGUUUUUAAGUACUUUUAUAUCCAUUAACCUCCUAUUUUAUUUUAAGUUUCCAAACAAAGUAAGGUUAGUCGUUCUUCCAUUGCAUCCCAUUCCAUCACCUUCCUUUACCUCGAUUGACUUCUUGUUCCAUCACAUGUAACCUUUCAAUGCCUAAAAAAGUAUGCCAAGCACAAUUGCAUUACUUUAUGUUGUGUCUUCGAAAGUAUGGAGUACAAUUAGAUUCAUAUCUGGCAAUGAAGUGAUAAUAUAUUAUAAUUUGAAUUCCAACUCCUGGUAUCAUUUAAUUGCUUUACAAUCAAUGCACAAGUGUUGUCUUGGAAUAUUAAUUGGCAUUUUCUUUUGU
rnacentral:misc_RNA from 1 species